UACGUAGGAGACGAGCGUUAUCCGGAUUUACUGGGCGUAAAGCGGGCGUAGGCGGUCCUUCAAGUCGGAUGUGAAAUAUCCCGGCUCAACCGGGAGGGGCCAUUCGAUACUGUUGGGCUAGAGGACAGCAGAGGGAAGUGGAAUUCCCGGUGUAGUGGUGAUAUGCGUAGAUAUCGGGAGGAACACCAGUGGCGAAGGCGGCUUCCUGGGCUGUUGCUGACGCUGAGGCCCUAAAGCGUGGGGAGCGAACAGGAUUAGAUACCCCCGUA
rnacentral:rRNA from 1 species